rnacentral:rRNA from 1 species
UACGGAGGGUGCAAGCGUUAUCCGGAUUCACUGGGUUUAAAGGGUGCGUAGGCGGGCAGGUAAGUCAGUGGUGAAAUCUCCGAGCUUAACUCGGAAACUGCCAUUGAUACUAUUUGUCUUGAAUAUUGUGGAGGUAAGCGGAAUAUGUCAUGUAGCGGUGAAAUGCUUAGAUAUGACAUAGAACACCAAUUGCGAAGGCAGCUUACUACACAAUGUUUGACGCUGAGGCACGAAAGCGUGGGGAUCAAACAGG